rnacentral:rRNA from 1 species
AGCGAACGCUGGCGGCAGGCCUAACACAUGCAAGUCGAACGAAGCCUUCGGGCUUAGUGGCGGACGGGUGCGUAACACGUGGGAACGUACCUUUUGGUUCGGAAUAACGCAGAGAAAUUUGCGCUAAUACCGAAUGAGCCCUUCGGGGGAAAGAUUUAUCGCCGAAAGAUCGGCCCGCGUUGGAUUAGGUAGUUGGUGUGGUAAAGGCGCAUCAAGCCUACGAUCCAUAGCUGGUCUGAGAGGAUGAUCAGCCACACCGGGACUGAGACACGGCCGAGACUCCGACAGGAGGCAGCAGUGGGGGAUCUUGCGCAAUGGGCGAAAGCCUGACGCAGCCAUGCCGCUUAAGUGAUGAAGGUCUUGGGAUUGUAAAAUUCUUUUACCAGGGACGAUAAUGACGGUACCUGGAGAAAAAGCCCCGGCUAACUUCGUGCCAGCCGCCGCAGUAACAC